AACGAACGCUGGCGGCAGGCUUAACACAUGCAAGUCGAACGCCCCGCAAGGGGAGUGGCAGACGGGUGAGUAACGCGUGGGAAUCUACCUAGUUCUACGGAACAACAGUUGGAAACGACUGCUAAUACCGUAUACGCCCUAUGGGGGAAAGAUUUAUCGGAAUUAGAUGAGCCCGCGUAAGAUUAGCUAGUUGGUGAGGUAAUGGCUCACCAAGGCGACGAUCUUUAGCUGGUCUGAGAGGAUGAUCAGCCACACUGGGACUGAGACACGGCCCAGACUCCUACGGGAGGCAGCAGUGGGGAAUAUUGGACAAUGGGCGCAAGCCUGAUCCAGCCAUGCCGCGUGAGUGAUGAAGGCCUUAGGGUUGUAAAGCUCUUUCAGUAGGGAAGAUAAUGACGGUACCUACAGAAGAAGCCCCGGCUAACUUCGUGCCAGCCGCCGCGGUAACAC
rnacentral:rRNA from 1 species